GACGAACGCUGGCGGCGUGCUUAACACAUGCAAGUCGAACGGAAAGGCCCUGCUUGCAGGGUACUCGAGUGGCGAACGGGUGAGUAACACGUGGGUGAUCUGCCCUGCACUUCGGGAUAAGCCUGGGAAACUGGGUCUAAUACCGGAUAGGAGCCAUUUUUAGUGUGAUGGUUGGAAAGUUUUUUCGGUGUAGGAUGAGCUCGCGGCCUAUCAGCUUGUUGGUGGGGUAAUGGCCUACCAAGGCGGCGACGGGUAGCCGGCCUGAGAGGGUGGACGGCCACAUUGGGGCCUGGGUAACGCCCAGACUCCCACGGGAGGGCGGAGUGGGGAAAAUUGCACAAUGGGGGCAAGCCUGAUGCAGGGACGCCGCGUGGGGGAUGACGGGCUUCGGGUUGUAAACUCCUUUCGCUAGGGAAGAAGCUUUUUGUGACGGUACCUAGAUAAGAAGCACCGGCUAACUACGUG
rnacentral:rRNA from 1 species